rnacentral:lncRNA from 1 species
GGUCAGCGAGCAGCAGCGAGAACCUCCUGUGUGCCACCGAGCUGGGCUUCCACCUCUUCUGGGUGAUAGGUGCCCUAAAAAUCUCAGUCUUUGCAUCUCCUAGCUCUCGUCUCAGCAUGCCCAUAAGGUGACAAUGCACCCUCAGAGCCCUGGGUCCUCCAAACUCACUUUUCUUCCCUCUGUAUCCCAUGACACACGCACACAGCCGAUUACAUGGAAGCAGCAAGCCGGAAUUUUCACAAAUAUCUCAACUCAGGCCAUAUAAACGGAGUUUAUCUCAUAUCAGUCUCAGUUCUGAGCAUACGGACAGCUCAGCUUUAUGCACACCUGCAGCAUUAUUUGCUCUACGUCAGGGCAGCAAUCCUGAUCUAUCAGUGUGUCACUGCCGAUCUGAUGCAUGUGAAAGCAGCACGAAGCCCUGAACCCGUUCUGCCUGCUCUGCUGCUGCACCAAGGGCUGCUAAAUGCCCAUUUAGAGGUGGCUCACGUCUGGUGGGUCAGUGUCCUGGACUUCCUUGCAGAAGGGAAGGAAGCCCGUGUGCACUCCAGCACUGCAUUUCCUGAGCUGUGGGUUUAUCUUUUGCAAAGCAGAAGGGAGAUCUUCUUUGUCAGUACCUACUCCUGAUGGUGGUUGUGUAGCCAUUGCACAGCAGAAACUCUUCAGCACAAGCAAUGAACCACCCAGAUCUACCAGGGUACACGCAGCAGAAGGAAUGAAAUUGAAAAAAGGACAAAAGGAUCAGGAAACAUAAUAAAAAACAAACAAAAAAAACGAGGAUUUGGGUG